AUUGAACGCUGGCGGCAGGCUUAACACAUGCAAGUCGAGCGGGGUGAUGGUGCUUGCACUAUCACUUAGCGGCGGACGGGUGAGUAAUGCUUAGGAAUCUGCCUAUUAGUGGGGGACAACAUCUCGAAAGGGAUGCUAAUACCGCAUACGUCCUACGGGAGAAAGCAGGGGAUCACUUGUGACCUUGCGCUAAUAGAUGAGCCUAAGUCGGAUUAGCUAGUUGGUGGGGUAAAGGCCUACCAAGGCGACGAUCUGUAGCGGGUCUGAGAGGAUGAUCCGCCAAGCUGGGACUGAGACACGGGCCAGACUCCUACGGGAGGCAGCAGUGGGGAAUAUUGGACAAUGGGGGGAACCCUGAUCCAGCCAUGCCGCGUGUGUGAAGAAGGCCUUAUGGUUGUAAAGCACUUUAAGCGAGGAGGAGGCUCUUUUGGUUAAUACCCAAGAUGAGUGGACGUUACUCGCAGAAUAAGCACCGGCUAACUCUGUGCCAGCAGCAGCCGCCG
rnacentral:rRNA from 1 species